rnacentral:lncRNA from 1 species
CUACUGGGAAGUCGCAUCAAGGCUGGAAGCAAAGCAGGACUUUGAAAUCCAGGGUCAGCCUUUUUUUCCACUCUCCCUGUCUACCGGCUUCUUGAACUGCACGAGGUCCGCGUGUACUUACAGAACCGUGAGCGAGUCGCACGUCAGGAAGGUGGAGUUCGUUAUGAACUUUAUCCCAUUGUUUGCCAGAUCCCUGAAAGCCACAGAGGGAAACACUUCAGGCACUUUUGGGGAACUGGGGCGGAUGGAGAAAAGCCCAAACUUUUGCAAAUGAGCGACACAUCUCUUCACCUGAACAUUGUGACCGCUAAGCUGAAAGGUCUGAAUGCUGAAUAGGUUUGCUGAACACAGUUGCCAAGUCAACAAGAAAACCACGCACGGCUUCUGAAAAUCUGUCCAGUGCUCU